GAAAACCGUAUAUGCUUCUGUUGGAACUUAAUCUUGGUGCCAUGGAAAAUCCACCCAGAUACGAGUCACUUGGACUUUCACUUCGGACCUGGGAGUAUUAAUAUUAAUGUUAUAUUGUAUACCAUAUAGGACUACCAAUAUGAAAUCUCUUUUAUUUAAUGAUUGUAAGUUUCAUGUGAUUAUUUUAAAGCCUUUUCCUUCUAAGAAGGUUGGUGUAUCAUUUAUUCCAUGCUUUCUUUUUUCUUUUUUCUUGGUGUAUCAUGUAUCAUGUAAGACUUUUCCUUUGCGUGUCUUUUUUUACGGAGCUACAUCUCUGUUGAAUAUGGACCCUAAUGAAACCGCCCAGAAAAUAUUGAACCAAGCUCUGCACAGAUCUAUAAAGUAGAAAUUUCCAAAUCAAUAAUGAUGGUGGUGGGUGCAAAUCGGAGAGGUGAAGAGUUGGAGAAUGACUCUCAUGCAAGUCGUAAGCAGAUUAAGACAAGGGAUCUCCUAAGACAAGGGAUAUCCAAUGAGUUCAUCAAUAUGAAGUACUGCUUUUCGGUUGGUGGUGUUUCUUUUAGCACAAUUACUUUAUGAAAUUCUUAUCUUCAUUAUCAUGUCAACUGUUCAUAAAUUUGAGUGUAUUUAUUAAGAGAAGAUCAAUUGUUCAUAAUUCCUAUUUGUGCUCAUAAAUUCUUAUCGGCCGAGGUGCUGGCAGGUGCAUCGGAUGAUCUGUAUUCUAAAUUUCUAAGGUUAGGGUUUCUGGAAAUGAUCUGUAAAAAAAUCGAUCUUUAUUUGAUUUUGAUAUGGGACUUAAUUUAUUUGGGUAUGCUUCAAUUUUAUCUUAAGAACAAGGCGUGGGUUUUCUGUUCCUGUUCAAUUUGAAAUC